rnacentral:misc_RNA from 1 species
UGGCUCUCGCAUCGAUGAAGAACGCAGCGAAAUGCGAUAAGUAAUGUGAAUUGCAGAAUUCAGUGAAUCAUCGAAUCUUUGAACGCACCUUGCACUCCUUGGUAUUCCGAGGAGUAUGCCUGUUUGAGUGUCUUGUAAUCAUCAAUCUAACAUUGCUUUUGUGAUGUGAGAUUGGAUUUGGAGACUGCUGGUCUUACGACUGGCUUCUCUUGAAUACAUUAGUAGAAUUGAGUUGCAGCGCUACGUGUAGUGUGAUAAUAUCUUCACUGCAUAGUUGUAAUGAAGUUUUGCUUCUAAUCGUCCCUCGUUGGACAAUAAUUGACCAUUUGACCUCAAAUCAGGUAGGACUACCCGCUGA